AGUUUGAUCAUGGCUCAGGACGAACGCUGGCGGCGUGCCUAAUACAUGCAAGUCGAACGCUUCUUUUUCCACCGGAGCUUGCUCCACCGGAAAAAGAGGAGUGGCGAACGGGUGAGUAACACGUGGGUAACCUGCCCAUCAGAAGGGGAUAACACUUGGAAACAGGUGCUAAUACCGUAUAACAAUCGAAACCGCAUGGUUUUGAUUUGAAAGGCGCUUUCGGGUGUCGCUGAUGGAUGGACCCGCGGUGCAUUAGCUAGUUGGUGAGGUAACGGCUCACCAAGGCGACGAUGCAUAGCCGACCUGAGAGGGUGAUCGGCCACAUUGGGACUGAGACACGGCCCAAACUCCUACGGGAGGCAGCAGUAGGGAAUCUUCGGCAAUGGACGAAAGUCUGACCGAGCAACGCCGCGUGAGUGAAGAAGGUUUUCGGAUCGUAAAACUCUGUUGUUAGAGAAGAACAAGGAUGAGAGUAACUGUUCAUCCCUUGACGGUAUCUAACCAGAAAGCCACGGCUAACUACGUGCCAGCAGCCGCGGUAAUACGUAGGUGGCAAGCGUUGUCCGGAUUUAUUGGGCGUAAAGCGAGCGCAGGCGGUUUCUUAAGUCUGAUGUGAAAGCCCCCGGCUCAACCGGGGAGGGUCAUUGGAAACUGGGAGACUUGAGUGCAGAAGAGGAGAGUGGAAUUCCAUGUGUAGCGGUGAAAUGCGUAGAUAUAUGGAGGAACACCAGUGGCGAAGGCGGCUCUCUGGUCUGUAACUGACGCUGAGGCUCGAAAGCGUGGGGAGCAAACAGGAUUAGAUACCCUGGUAGUCCACGCCGUAAACGAUGAGUGCUAAGUGUUGGAGGGUUUCCGCCCUUCAGUGCUGCAGCUAACGCAUUAAGCACUCCGCCUGGGGAGUACGACCGCAAGGUUGAAACUCAAAGGAAUUGACGGGGGCCCGCACAAGCGGUGGAGCAUGUGGUUUAAUUCGAAGCAACGCGAAGAACCUUACCAGGUCUUGACAUCCUUUGACCACUCUAGAGAUAGAGCUUCCCCUUCGGGGGCAAAGUGACAGGUGGUGCAUGGUUGUCGUCAGCUCGUGUCGUGAGAUGUUGGGUUAAGUCCCGCAACGAGCGCAACCCUUAUUGUUAGUUGCCAUCAUUUAGUUGGGCACUCUAGCAAGACUGCCGGUGACAAACCGGAGGAAGGUGGGGAUGACGUCAAAUCAUCAUGCCCCUUAUGACCUGGGCUACACACGUGCUACAAUGGGAAGUACAACGAGUCGCAAAGUCGCGAGGCUAAGCUAAUCUCUUAAAGCUUCUCUCAGUUCGGAUUGUAGGCUGCAACUCGCCUACAUGAAGCCGGAAUCGCUAGUAAUCGCGGAUCAGCACGCCGCGGUGAAUACGUUCCCGGGCCUUGUACACACCGCCCGUCACACCACGAGAGUUUGUAACACCCGAAGUCGGUGAGGUAACCUUUUGGAGCCAGCCGCCUAAGGUGGGA
rnacentral:rRNA from 1 species